UUUUUCUCAAUAAACACAAAAUUCGUCAUUAUUAUGAUUUAUUUGCAACUACAAAUGACAAGGAUUCCAUAAUUAUUUAUAUUAUUUUCGCAAUCCGCCAGAAACAUUUCAUUAUUAUCUAUCACAGUACAAAGGAAUGCACAGUUAAACAAGGGAGACAACAACUAUAUUAGGCUCAAUCUAUUUGCACAACGACAAGAAAUGAAAAAAAUGACAAUGAUUUUGGUCCAAUGGGUGGGAAAAGGUAUUUGAUGAAGUUACAUGUUAUGGCAGUAGUAGGAACAAUGUAUAUAAAGUACUGUGGGGUAAGAUGGGACACUUUUAGCACAUGAUAUCCAAAUAUCUUGAUCGUGUUUUAAACAAUUAACAACGGUCUAUGGGAGUCAUGAGGAUAUGGUUUUAUAAUUCUUUAAAUGUUCUUUGUUAACUACUAAAUGGGACGACAAAAUAGAGUUAAAAGCGUCCCGUCUUCCCGCAUCCCACUAUAUAAAGGUUAGAUUUUGAAGGUAAAAUAUUUUCACAGUGAAUCAGAGAUAAGUUUGAUUACGACGAGCUUUAUUUCUUCGUCGAGAAAGAGGGUCCGAGCUCGGGGCGCGUAGAAAAA